rnacentral:lncRNA from 1 species
UACUUAGGAAUAAAGGAAAUUAGGUUAAGCUGGAAAAUACAGGAAUUAAUUAGGAAUUAGUUCAGGUUAAGUAAAAAAGGAAAUUAGUUAGGAGUAAAGGAAAUUAAGUUAAAAAAAAAAAAAAAAAUGACCAACGCAUGAUGACGACCCCCAAGACAACGACUCAGGACUCACGACUAAAAGGAACUCAAAGAGGAUUGAGAUAGGUUAGC